AUGUUGUAUGGAGAGAGAAAAGGUUAGCAGUCCCCUUGACAAGACGGAAGAUGCCCUCUGGCCUGACAGCAUGAACACGGUUAAGGCAUUGCCCCCUACUUCAUGGCAUCUAUCUAUUCUUCCCU
rnacentral:ncRNA from 1 species